rnacentral:rRNA from 1 species
CCUACGGGAGGCAGCAGUGGGGAAUUUUGGACAAUGGGCGCAAGCCUGAUCCAGCCAUGCCGCGUGUGGGAAGAAGGCCUUCGGGUUGUAAGCCACUUUUGUCAGGGAAGAAACGGCCUUUUCUAAUACAGAGGGCUAAUGACGGUACCUGAAGAAUAAGCACCGGUUAACUACGUGCCAGCAGCCGCGGUAAUACGUAGGGUGCAAGCGUUAAUCGGAAUUACUGGGCGUAAAGCGUGCGCAGGCGGCUUUGCAAGACAGAUGUGAAAUCCCCGGGCUCAACCUGGGAACUGCAUUUGUGACUGCAUGGCUAGAGUACGGUAGAGGGGGAUGGAAUUCCGCGUGUAGCAGUGAAAUGCGUAGAUAUGCGGAGGAACACCGAUGGCGAAGGCAAUCCCCUGGACCUGUACUGACGCUCAGGCACGAAAGCGUGGGGAGCAAACAGGAUUAGAUACCCUGGUAGUCCACGCCCUAAACGAUGUCAACUGGUUGUUGGACGGCUUGCUGUUCAGUAACGAAGCUAACGCGUGAAGUUGACCGCCUGGGGAGUACGGCCGCAAGGUUGAAACGUUAAAGGAUUGACGG